GACGAACGCUGGCGGCGUGCCUAAUACAUGCAAGUCGAGCGCUUCUUUCCUCCCGAGUGCUUGCACUCAAUUGGAAAGAGGAGUGGCGGACGGGUGAGUAACACGUGGGUAACCUACCCAUCAGAGGGGGAUAACACUUGGAAACAGGUGCUAAUACCGCAUAACAGUUUAUGCCGCAUGGCAUAAGAGUGAAAGGCGCUUUCGGGUGUCGCUGAUGGAUGGACCCGCGGUGCAUUAGCUAGUUGGUGAGGUAACGGCUCACCAAGGCCACGAUGCAUAGCCGACCUGAGAGGGUGAUCGGCCACACUGGGACUGAGACACGGCCCAGACUCCUACGGGAGGCAGCAGUAGGGAAUCUUCGGCAAUGGACGAAAGUCUGACCGAGCAACGCCGCGUGAGUGAAGAAGGUUUUCGGAUCUUAAAACUCUGUUGUUAGAGAAGAACAAGGACGUUAGUAACUGAACGUCCCCUGACGGUAUCUAACCAGAAAGCCACGGCUAACUACGUG
rnacentral:rRNA from 1 species